rnacentral:lncRNA from 1 species
CGGCCCCGCCGGCCUGGCGCGCAGUCCGAGCCACUCAGAGAGCCCGGCGGCCGACACCCAGGGGCUCUACAAUUAAUACCCCGCGCCUGCCCGCCGGCCGGGACUCGUGCGCCGGCUGUCGGGGACGGAGGCGCCCGGUCCGCCCUGACGAGCUCGCCACUGGCUCUGCUCCGGCGGCGACGGCGACAGUGGCCCGGGCCGACUCUCCCGGGGACCCCACCUCCCCCAGAGCCAGCUUGGGCAGGGGAUCGUGCCUCCACACCGAGGUCCCUCGCUUGUGUGCGCCCCCGGCCCGGGCCCGGCAGGUGGGCGAGGAGCGCGGGAGCUGCCGAGGCUCGGCAGGAGCGCGCGGAGAAGAUUCUGGCUAUAUUGGAGAUUGGUUGCUUUCUAAAACGGAAGGAGAAGCCCAUGAAGAGAUGGUGGAUUCGCAUUGAGUUUUGACUGGCGGAAUAAAAGAGAGAGUUCAAGUGGAUGGUGUUGAGGACUUGAAACGCUGAGAUAUGAUGAUUUUGAAGUCAUUUCACAUUUGAAGCCAUGAUUUAAAUAUCAGCGUUAAGGUAAGUGUUGAGGAAAGAAAUAGAACACUUUUGUGGGUAACACG